rnacentral:rRNA from 1 species
GACGAACGCUGGCGGCGUGCUUAACACAUGCAAGUCGAACGGAAAGGCCCUGCUUUUGUGGGGUGCUCGAGUGGCGAACGGGUGAGUAACCCGUGAGUAACCUGCCCUUGACUUUGGGAUAACUUCAGGAAACUGGGGCUAAUACCGGAUAGGAGCUCCUGCUGCAUGGUGGGGGUUGGAAAGUUUCGGCGGUUGGGGAUGGACUCGCGGCUUAUCAGCUUGUUGGUGGGGUAGUGGCUUACCAAGGCUUUGACGGGUAGCCGGCCUGAGAGGGUGACCGGCCACAUUGGGGCUGAGAUACGGCCCAGACUCCUACGGGAGGCAGCAGUGGGGAAUAUUGCACAAUGGGCGGAAGCCUGAUGCAGCAACGCCGCGUGCGGGAUGACGGCCUUCGGGUUGUAAACCGCUUUCGCCUGUGACGAAGCGUGAGUGACGGUAAUGGGUAAAGAAGCACCGGCUAACUACGUG